CUGGAUGACUAAAUGCACCCCUUACCUCUGUUGCUGUUACCUCCACUGAUAAAGACAGGUGAUUCUGGAUUGAGUUUUAUGGGUGGUCUAAAGGCAUGCGUCUUCACAAGCACUGGGUGACUGGUAGAACCUGAAGAAAUAGUAUAUACUGGACUGGAAUGGUAGUAGCUGACCCAGAGAUAAAUUUUUUGUAUACAAGCAGUUGUUUGCUAAAUGGACUGGCAUGAAACAUUCUACUCAAAUGGGGUCAAAUGAGACCAAUUUUAUUAUCUUUCUU
rnacentral:lncRNA from 1 species